UUCAAACACCGGUUCACGUACGAUCACCGAAGUUAAGCAGCAUUGAGCCAGGUCAGUACCCAGAUGGUUGACGACUUGGGAAUACUAGGUGUUGUAAG